rnacentral:tRNA from 1 species
UCCCUGGUGGCUCAGUGGUUAAGGACUCAGCUUUGUUACUGCUGUGGUUCAGGUUCAAUCCCUGGUCCAGGAA